AACGAACGCUGGCGGCAUGCCUAACACAUGCAAGUCGAACGAAGGCUUCGGCCUUAGUGGCGCACGGGUGCGUAACGCGUGGGAAUCUGCCCUUAGGUUCGGAAUAACAGUUAGAAAUGACUGCUAAUACCGGAUGAUGACGUAAGUCCAAAGAUUUAUCGCCUGAGGAUGAGCCCGCGUAGGAUUAGCUAGUUGGUGUGGUAAAGGCGCACCAAGGCGACGAUCCUUAGCUGGUCUGAGAGGAUGAUCAGCCACACUGGGACUGAGACACGGCCCAGACUCCCACGGGAGGCAGCAGUGGGGAAUAUUGGACAAUGGGCGCAAGCCUGAUCCAGCAAUGCCGCGUGAGUGAUGAAGGCCUUAGGGUUGUAAAGCUCUUUUACCCGUGAUGAUAAUGACAGUAGCGGGAGAAUAAGCCCCGGCUAACUCCGUG
rnacentral:rRNA from 1 species